AACGAACGCUGGCGGCAUGCCUAACACAUGCAAGUCGAACGAGACCUUCGGGUCUAGUGGCGCACGGGUGCGUAACGCGUGGGAACCUGCCCUUAGGUUCGGAAUAACUCCCCGAAAGGGGUGCUAAUACCGGAUAAUGUCUUCGGACCAAAGAUUUAUCGCCUUUGGAUGGGCCCGCGUUGGAUUAGCUAGUUGGUAGGGUAAAAGACUACCAAGGCGACGAUCCAUAGCUGGUCUGAGAGGAUGAUCAGCCACACUGGGACUGAGACACGGCCCAGACUCCUACGGGAGGCAGGAGUGGGGAAUAUUGGACAAUGGGCGAAAGCCUGAUCCAGCAAUGCCGCGUGAGUGAUGAAGGCCUUAGGGUUGUAAAGCUCUUUUACCCGGGAUGAUAAUGACAGUACCGGGAGAAUAAGCUCCGGCUAACUCCGUG
rnacentral:rRNA from 1 species